rnacentral:rRNA from 2 species
UACAUAGAGUGCAAGCGUUAUCCGGAAUGAUUGGGCGUAAAGCGUCUGUAGGUGGUUUAAAAAGUCUAAUGUCAAAUACGAUGGCUCAACCAACGGCAGGCAUUAGAGUACUAUUAAACUAGAGUUUGGUAGAGGUAGAGGGAAUCCCUAGCGUAACAGUGAAAUGUGUAGAUUUUAGGGAGAACACCAGCGGCGAAGGCGCUCUACUGGGCCAAUACUGACACUGAGAGACGAAAGCUAAGGGAGCGAAAAGG